UACAGAGGCCUCGAGCGUUAGGCGGAAUCACUGGGCUUAAAGCGUGUGUAGGCGGACUUCUAAGUACCUUGUGAAAUCCCACGGCUUACCCGUGGAACGGCUGGGUAUACUGGUUGUCUUGAGCCACUUAGGGGCUACCGGAACAAAUGGUGGAGCGGUGAAAUGCGUAGAUAUCAUUUGGAACGCCAAUGGUGAAAACAGGUAGCUGGGAGUGUGCUGACGCUGGAGACACGAAAGCCAGGGGAGCGAACGGG
rnacentral:rRNA from 1 species